rnacentral:rRNA from 1 species
AGAGUUUGAUUAUGGCUCAGGAUGAACGCUGGCGGCGUGCCUAACACAUGCAAGUCGAGCGGAGAUAAGUUGAAGCCUAGCGAUCUUAUCUUAGCGGCGGAUGGGUGAGGUAACAACGUGGGUAACCUGCCCUGCACUGGGGAAUAACAGCUGGAAACGGCUGUUAAUGCCGCAUAUGCGCACGAAGCCGACAUGGCUUUGGGCGGAAAGAUUUAUCGGUGCAGGAUGGGCCCGCGCCGGAUUAACUAGUUGGCGGGGUAACAGCCCACCAAGGUGAUGAUCCGUAGCCGACCUGAGAGGGUGACCGGCCACAUUGGGACUGAGACACGGCCCAAACUCCUACGGGAGGGCAGCAGUGGGGGAUAUUGCACAAUGGGGGAAACCCUGAAUGCAGCGACGCCGCGUGAAGGAUGAAGUAUUUCGGUAUGUAAACUUCUAUCAGCGGGGAAGAAGAUGACGGUACCCGACUAAGAAGCCCCGGCUAACUACGUGCCAGCAGCCGC